ensembl:snRNA U6 U6 spliceosomal RNA
GUGCUUGUCUCAGCAGCACAUAUAUUAAAAUUGGAAUGACACAGAGAUUAGCAUGGCCCCUGUACAAGGCUGACAUAUGACACAAGUCAUGAAGCAUUCUGUA